GGGUGCUGUUCGCUCAACAGGAAGGCUGCUUUCUUAGCCUCCCAAACAGGAGGGCCUCCAGCUCUCCUCAUCCAUCCAUGCCUGUGGAUGCAGAGGUCUAGUAGGAGCGUGAUCACCAACAUUUAGAGGAGCCGCCUGGCUGGCCUUGAGGCCAUAUCCCUAAUGACCUCAGGUGAGUGGAGCCAGGUGACCUCCCUGNNNNNCAGAGCUUAAAGUGGAAGUGAGUUCAUGCUGCUGGGCUCCUGUACAUUGGUUGGUGGGUUGGAGGGGCAGUCACUACGUGAGCUGCCAGAGGUCCUGCCAGGAGCACUCAAGGCUCUCUCAACCUGGUGGCCUGUCUCACCCAGCUACCGGAAGCCAGAAGUCUUAGAGAGCAGUGCUUGUUCAUGUCGAAUCCCACCAGCUGCUGACACUAACGCCUCUCCUCCAGCGAACCCACAGCAGCCAACUGCAGACCGAGGCCUGACUGACUCCAGGGCCCCUCCUGCUCCCUCCCCAGCCUCGCCCUCCUCUCCCCUCUUCCCUGUCCUAUCUGGCUCUCUUCCCUCCUGCUGAGGCAAGACGAUAUGGCUGGCAGCUGUCAACUCAGUGCACUUCCUCAAACCCUGACUGAACGAACACGCACGAUGCCCUAGGCCCAAAUGCAGAGUCACGGGAGCUGUUCCUUCAGCAACGUCAGUACAAACAAGGCCCCGAGUCAGAGAAAACUAGGCCAGGACACAGAAAAAGAAAGAAAAAGAGUCAAAGAGCACCUUGACUUCUGCCCCCUUCAGGCGUAGUUCUCAUGGAAGCCUGAAGAAGAAAGAGACGGGAAAGGAAGAAAAAGAGACCCGGAAGCUGGGUGUCCUGCAGCAGGCCAGGGGGCUUCCCACAGCUCUGGACCCUAUGCUGGAGACCGUAGGAGCGGAUCUUCUGGAGUUGGGGCUUUCUAGAAGUUCCUUCUUCUAGGAGAAGCCCUAUAUACCAUUUGCUUGUGUUUAAAUCCUAGUUCGCCUCUUUGAGGCUCAGCAUGUGUUCAGUUCAGUUCAGUCGCUCAGUCGUGUCCCACUCUUUGCAACCCCAU
rnacentral:lncRNA from 1 species